rnacentral:rRNA from 1 species
UACGUAGGGUGCAAGCGUUAAUCGGAAUUACUGGGCGUAAAGCGUGCGCAGGCGGUUUUGUAAGUCUGACGUGAAAGCCCCGGGCGUCAACCUGGGAAGUUGCGUUGGAGACUGCAAGGCUUGAAUCUGGCAGAGGGGGGUAGGAAUUCCACGUGUAGCAGUGAAAUGCGUAGAGAUGUGGAGGAACACCGAUGGCGAAGGCAGCCCCUCGGGUCAAGAUUGACGCUCAUGCACGAAAGCGUGGGGAGCAAACAGGAUUAGAAACCCCCGUGU